GUGGGGAAUCUUAGACAAUGGGGGAAACCCUGAUCUAGCCAUGCCGCGUGAGCGAUGAAGGCCUUAGGGUUGUAAAGCUCUUUCAGCUGGGAAGAUAAUGACGGUACCAGCAGAAGAAGCCCCGGCUAACUCCGUGCCAGCAGCCGCGGUAAUACGGAGGGGGCUAGCGUUGUUCGGAAUUACUGGGCGUAAAGCGCGCGUAGGCGGACCAGAAAGUUGGAGGUGAAAUCCCAGGGCUCAACCUUGGAACUGCCUUCAAAACUCCUGGUCUGGAGUUCGAGAGAGGUGAGUGGAAUUCCGAGUGUAGAGGUGAAAUUCGUAGAUAUUCAGAAGAACACCAGUGGCGAAGGCGACUCACUGGCCCAAUACUGACGCUGAGGCGCGAAAGCGUGGGGAGCAAACAGGAUUAGAAACCCGUGUAGUCC
rnacentral:rRNA from 1 species